AUUGAACGCUGGCGGCAUGCCUUACACAUGCAAGUCGAACGGCAGCGGACCUUCGGGUGCCGGCGAGUGGCGAACGGGUGAGUAAUAUAUCGGAACGUACCUUUCAGUGGGGGAUAACGUAGCGAAAGUUACGCUAAUACCGCAUAUUCUGUGAGCAGGAAAGCAGGGGAUCGCAAGACCUUGCGCUGAUUGAGCGGCCGAUAUCAGAUUAGCUAGUUGGUGAGGUAAAGGCUCACCAAGGCGACGAUCUGUAGCGGGUCUGAGAGGAUGAUCCGCCACACUGGAACUGAGACACGGUCCAGACUCCUACGGGAGGCAGCAGUGGGAAUUUGGACAAUGGGCGCAAGCCUGAUCCAGCCAUGCCGCGUGAGUGAAGAAGGCCU
rnacentral:rRNA from 1 species